GUUACUGGUUCAGCUUCCACAGCUUCCACUGGAAGAACCUCUUCUGUCACUAUUCGCUCUGAAAUACUGUGAAUUUCUUUGAGAUGCCUUCUCAGCUCACUGCCUUGCAUAAACCACAAAUCACAUAGGUGUUCAGUGUUUUCUGUGAAUAAGUUCACUCUUUCUUUUGAAUAAAGACUAUACCCAGCAGUUUUCUUCACAACACAACCCAAUUCAGCCUCAAAUCGCAGCCAUGUUGUGAACUGAAUAAGGCUGAUAAAUAUCCUGUAAAGACAUGGCCAACUGGAUUAUUCUACAGAAGAAAAAGACAUUCUAUGUAAACUUCAUUUAUGUAAAUAAAAGGGUAAAACCCUAA